CCAUUUCCUGCUCGACCCGCUUCUGGGCAGAGACGACUGCGAGCGUGGGUCCCCGGGGGGUAGGUCCCAGGUGUGAUGAAUGGAGACCUGGUCUGUUCGAGGCAACUAUAGACCAAAGACGACCUUCUUGCUCACCCCUGGCAGCUCUAGUCUGGGUUUUCCCGUUCUGACUGACUGUGGACCAGGCAGCAUUCAUCUGUGUCCAAACUGCCUAGUGGCUCUGCUUCCACUCCCAACCCUCUGUGUGACGUGGGUUCUUGGGCCCCGGAAGCACAUUCAACAAGAUUCCGGAGGCUGGAUGGACGCCGUGGCUGUUGAAGACGUGGUUGUCGACUUUUCCCCGGAAGAGUGGGCCUUGCUGGAUCGUCCUCAGAGGAAACUCUACAGACACGUGAUGAUGGAAACUUUCAGAAACCUGGCCUCAGUAGCCACUUGUACCAUUGGGUCAGUUUCACCAAACCUUGGUGAUGGAGAACAGCUGUCCGCCGAAAAUACAAUCAUACAAUUGCUGCAAUGUGGCACGUGGUCCUCCGUGGUAGGAGAAAUAUGUGGCUCUCAUGUCACUGAAGAUCAGGACCACCAGCAGAGCCCUCCUGGGAGCAGAAGACAUAUUGAACAGACUGUCUGUGAAAUUAAGAAGAAAAGUCAGUGUGGACAGAACUUCAGCAGGAUUCCAGAUCUUCACAUACUCAAAAGAAGUUCUAAUAAACCAUAUCCUUCAGUGUCCCUUCAUUGUGGGACAUCCUCCAUGGACCAAUCGUCACCAUCUCUUCAGCGUCAGACGAGUUUACACUCUGACGGUAACACCAAUCAGGACGUCCUCCUUAUUCCCGCGGUCCCGUGAGAACUCUUCCUGGUGAGACAUCGAAGGAAUGUAAGGACUGGAAACACCGUCGAUAAAUCCUCCGAGGUCCUGGUACAUUUAAGACGUCACAGUGAACAGAGGCCUGUUGAUUGUAAGGCAUGUGGCAAAGUCUUUCCUCUUGUGGCACACUUGGCUAGGCAUAUGAAAACCCACAGUGGAGACAGGCCUUUUGAAGGUGAGCUCUGUGGGAAAUCAUUUCGUCAGUCCUCAGACCUCACUGCACAUAAAAGAAUGCAGGGUAAAGAGAGCCUUCACAGAUGCGAGGAAUGUGGCAGAGCCUUUCGUGAUUCUUCACAGCUCACCGUGCAUCUUAGAACUCACAGUGGAGAGAGGCCUUAUUCCUCAUCUCUCAUUCAUCGUAGGAAAACUCCCAGUGGAGACAGGCCUUAUGUGUGUAAGGAAUGUGGCAGAACCUUUUCUUACCCCUCAAAACUAACUGCACACGUUAGAACGCACAGUGGAGAGCGGCCUUAGGAAUGUAAGGUGUGUGGGAAAACAUUUAUUCUUUUCUACAUGCUCCUUAGACAUAUAAGGGUUCACAGUGGAGAGAAGCCUUUUGAAUGUAAGGUCUGUGGGAAAGCAUUUAGUUUGUCCUCUUACCUCAAAAAACACAACAUAAUUCACCGUGGAGAGAAGCCUUUUGAACGUAAGGUAUGUGGGAAAGCCUUUAUUCUAUCUUCCCACCUCCUUAUACAUGUAAGGGUUCACACUGGAGAGAAACCUUAUGAAUGUAAGGUGUGUGGCAAAGCGUUCAACUGCUCCUCUAGCCUCAUUAAACAUAGUAGAACACACAGUGGAGAGAGGCCUUAUGAAUGUAAGGAGUGUGGCAAAGCCUUUGCUCAUCAAUCCUCCCUCAUUCCACAUAGAAUUCACAGGGGAGAGAGGCUUUAUGAAUGUAAAGAAUGUGGCAAAGCUCUCAAACAUCAAUCAGCCCUCAUUCCACAUAUGAGAAUUCACAGUGGAGAGAGGCCUUAUGAAUGUAAGGAGUGUGGCAAAGGCUUUAAUCAGCCAUCUCACCUCAUUAGACAUAUAAGGGUUCACAGCGGAUAGAAGCCUUAAGGGUAAUGUUGCAAAGCCUCUAGUCAUACCUCAACGCGCAUUAAAUGUAAAGCUCACAUUAAAUAGAUCUUAUGAAUGUAUGGAGUGUGGCAAAGAUUUUAAUUACUCCUCAUUCCUCACUCAACAUAUCAGAAUUCACUGUGGAAAGAAGCCUGAUGAAUGUAAGGAAUGUGGCAAAGACCUGUGCUUAUUCCUCAGUUCACAUAGGAUUUCUCCCAGUGGAGAGAGGCCUUAUGAAUGUACGCUAUGUGGGUAAGCACUUACUGGGCCUUUGGAACAACUCACUAAACUCAGGGAGAGAUACCUUAUGACUAAGGAUUGUGGGAAAGCCUCAGUCACCACAGCUUUUUGCACGCAGAGGAAGAAACCACAGUGGAGAGGCCUUACGAAUGUAGGAAAACCUUUUGUCCUCUGGGUCUCACUGCACAUAGGAAAUUCACAGUACAGAGAGCUUUCUGAAUGUAAGGAGUGUGGGAAAGCCUUUACUCGCUCCUACAGCCUCAUUCCACAUAGGAGAAUUCACAAGGGAGAGAGGCCUUAUGAAUGUAAGGAUUGUGGCAAAG